GUCAUAUCUUGCUCCCCAAUUAUUUGAGGGACAAAAGGUCAGAUUUCUUAAAUUAGAGUCUGCAGUUUCACCUUUUCCCGCCUCAGUCGUUUCCCAGGCGGGCAGGUGCUGGGACCUGCGCGGGCCACCCCAACCAGCCUGGGUCUAGACUCCCAGCUGCGGGUGCCCGGCUGCCUCCAGCUGGACGCGCUCUCCUGGAACACAGAUCUGAGCGUGUGCAUGUGCAGGUGUAUGUGAGAGAGAUCAGCCCUGUCAGCCCUCCUCGAACCCGCACUGCCCGCCUGAUGACCGCCAAGGAGGGCCAGGCCCUGCUGAGUCACGAGGCCGCUCCCCCGCUGGGCACUGAGUCAUUCUUAACGAGCCCUCUGACGGGCAAACUGCUGCCAUCAUCCAGGAUUCACCCAAGUCUGCAGGAUUUGAGAACAUUCUUCCGGGAAGGAGUCUGGAGCCUCCCCCACACGGCUGCCCACAUCAGGAGCCUCAGAUACAGAGGCCUUUUUCCUUGCCUUUGGCCUCAGCAUCCAACACUCCACUCUUCUCAUGGAAACUCCGGGGGAGCGGCAGCGGAAACUCCAUCCGAUGCUUCACUGGGAAUCGGCAC
ensembl:lncRNA